rnacentral:rRNA from 1 species
UACGGGGGGAGCAAGCGUUGUUCGGAUUUACUGGGCGUAAAGGGCGCGUAGGCGGCCACCGCAAGUCGACUGUGAAAUCUCCGAGCUUAACUCGGAACGGUCAACUGAUACUGUGCGACUAGAGUGCGGAAGGGGCAACUGGAAUUCCGGGUGUAGUGGUGGAAUACGUAGAUAUCCGGAGGAACACCAGCGGCGAAGGCGGCUUUCUGGUCUGAUACUGACGCUGAGGCGCGAAAGCGUGGGGAGCGAUCCGG